CCUACGGGGUGCUGCAGUGGGGAAUAUUGGACAAUGGGCGAAAGCCUGAUCCAGCCAUGCCGCGUGUGUGAAGAAGGCCUUCGGGUUGUAAAGCACUUUCAGUGGGGAAGAAAGCCUUGGGGCUAAUACCCUCGAGGAAGGACAUCACCCACAGAAGAAGCACCGGCUAACUCCGUGCCAGCAGCCGCGGUAAUACGGAGGGUGCGAGCGUUAAUCGGAAUUACUGGGCAUAAAGCGCGCGUAGGCGGUCUGAUAAGCCGGUUGUGAAAGCCCCGGGCUCAACCUGGGAACGGCAUCCGGAACUGUCAGGCUAGAGUGCAGGAGAGGAAGGUAGAAUUCCCGGUGUAGCGGUGAAAUGCGUAGAGAUCGGGAGGAAUACCAGUGGCGAAGGCGGCCUUCUGGACUGACACUGACGCUGAGGUGCGAAAGCGUGGGUAGCAAACAGGAUUAGAUACCCGGGUAGUC
rnacentral:rRNA from 1 species